rnacentral:rRNA from 1 species
GACGAACGCUGGCGGCGUGCUUAACACAUGCAAGUCGUACGGUAAGGCCCUUUCGGGGGUCCACGAGUGGCGAACGGGUGAGUAACACGUGAGUAACCUGCCCACAACUUUUGGAUAACGCUAGGAAACUGGUGCUAAUACUGGAUAUGUGCUCCUGCUGCAUGGUGGGGGUUGGAAAGCUCCGGCGGUUGUGGAUGGACUCGCGGCCUAUCAGCUUGUUGGUGGGGUAGUGGCCUACCAAGGCGGCGACGGGUAGCCGGCCUGAGAGGGUGACCGGCCACAUUGGGACUGAGAUACGGCCCAGACUCCGACGGGAGGCAGCAGUGGGGAAUAUUGCACAAUGGGCGCAAGCCUGAUGCAGCAACGCCGCGUGCGGGAUGACGGCCUUCGGGUUGUAAACCGCUUUCAGCAGGGACGAAGCUUUUUGUGACGGUACCUGCAGAAGAAGCACCGGCUAACUACGUG